rnacentral:rRNA from 1 species
UGAGGAAUAUUGGUCAAUGGGCGCGAGCCUGAACCAGCCAAGUCGCGUGAAGGAUGACGGUCCUAUGGAUUGUAAACUUCUUUUAUCAGGGAAUAAAGUUUGGUACGUGUACUAUUUUGUAUGUACCUGAUGAAUAAGCAUCGGCUAACUCCGUGCCAGCAGCCGCGGUAAUACGGAGGAUGCGAGCGUUAUCCGGAUUUAUUGGGUUUAAAGGGUGCGUAGGCGGGUUUUUAAGUCAGUGGUGAAAGUUUGCAGCUCAACUGUAAAAUUGCCAUUGAAACUGAAAAUCUUGAGUGCAAAUGAGGUAGGCGGAAUGUGUUGUGUAGCGGUGAAAUGCAUAGAUAUAACACAGAACUCCGAUUGCGAAGGCAGCUUACUGGGAUGCAACUGACGCUGAUGC